CCUACGGGGGGCAGCAGUGGGGAAUAUUGCACAAUGGGCGCAAGCCUGAUGCAGCCAUGCCGCGUGUGUGAAGAAGGCCUUCGGGUUGUAAAGCACUUUCAGCGGGGAGGAAGGCGGUGAGGUUAAUAACCUCAUCGAUUGACGUUACCCGCAGAAGAAGCACCGGCUAACUCCGUGCCAGCAGCCGCGGUAAUACGGAGGGUGCAAGCGUUAAUCGGAAUUACUGGGCGUAAAGCGCACGCAGGCGGUCUGUCAAGUCGGAUGUGAAACCCCCGGGCUCAACCUGGGAACUGCAUUCGAAACUGGCAGGCUAGAGUCUUGUAGAGGGGGGUAGAAUUCCAGGUGUAGCGGUGAAAUGCGUAGAGAUCUGGAGGAAUACCGGUGGCGAAGGCGGCCCCCUGGACAAAGACUGACGCUCAGGUGCGAAAGCGUGGGGAGCAAACAGGAUUAGAUACCCGGGUAGUC
rnacentral:rRNA from 1 species